rnacentral:rRNA from 1 species
CCAAUAGCGUAUAUUAAAGUUGUUGCAGUUAAAAAGCUCGUAGUUGAAUUUCGGGGUUAAUAAGUUGGUCGUACCUAUGGUAUGUACUGGCUUUAUUGAUUCCUACCUCUUGACGAACUGUGAUGCCAUUAAUUUGGUGUUGCAAGGAAUCAGGACUGUUACCUUGAAAAAAUUAGAGUGUUUAAAGCAGGCUUACGCUUGAAUACAUUAGCAUGGAAUAAUGAAAUAGGACGUUUGAACCUAUUUUGUUGGUUUCUAGGAUCGACGUAAUGAUUAGUAG